CCCUUAGAUGUUCUGGGCCGCACGCGUGCUACACUGACCGGCGCAACAAGUUUCUUUCCUUGGCUCGAUAGGCCUGGGUAAUCUUUGAACGCCGGUCGUGAUGGGGAUAGAUCCUUGCAAUUUUUGAUCUUCAACGAGGAAUUCCUAGUAAAUGCGAGUCAUCAUCUCGCGUUGAUUACGUCCCUGCCCUUUGUACACACCGCCCGUCGCUCCUACCGAUUGAAUGGUCCGGUGAAAAUUUCGGAUACCGGCAUUGCUGGCGGUUCGCCGCCGGCGACGCUGGUAGAAGAUCUUUAAACCUUAUCAUUUAGAGGAAGGAGAAGUCGUAACA
rnacentral:rRNA from 1 species